AGAAGAAGCCUUUAAAAGCUGCCAAGAAAGCGACUAAGGAGAUGGAUGAUGAUGAAAUGGCCUUCAAACAGAAGCAGAAAGAAGACCAGAAAGCCUUGGAUGCGUUGAAGACGAAAGCAGCAGGAAAAGGACCUUUGAGUAAAGAAUAAUCUGGUGGCGGAAUCAAGAAGUCUGGAAAGAAGUGAUUUGGCGUUAGAAGAUCAUGCACUCAUUUGCUGAAUCACAGCCCCCCCCCCCCAUCUUUUUUUUUCUUGUUUGGGUCCAUUGAAGAAAAUUGAGUCAAAUACAUGAAAUGACCCUUUUUAAAAAUAAUUUCCAGUGUGUUCUUGUAAAGGAAAAAGUUCUGUACUAUUAAAGUCUUGUAACUACUGUUGUAUUUACACUCCUCCUCUAAUCUUUGAGAUUCAGUCAGGAAACACAUCAUCAUUAGAUCAAUAGCUACACUACACAUACCAACAUGAUGUUGUGACGGCCCCGUUACAAUGUGUAGCACAAAUAUAGUGUAUUAUGGUCAAAUGUAAUCAGUUUCACUUCUUCCAAGCUUGGCCACCUGCAUCUUUAGCAUCUGUAUCUGUAAAUUCAGCUUCUCUCGUUGAGGUUCUCUCUUCCGUUCCCUAAAUUCUCUUCAUACAGUCCAAUUUUGUCCAUGAACUGUUUUACAGUUCCAGAAAAUUAGUUUUCUUAUCUACAAUUAAUUUUAUUCAGAUUUUGACACCUGGAUUUUUGAAUGUGUGGAGUGAUGUGUGUUUAAAAGAUGUUGCUUGUUUAACCCAUUUAGAUUUUUCCUUAAGAGGAAAGUUUGGGAGAUUCAGAAUAAAGCGCAAUGAUGCUGCUUA